rnacentral:lncRNA from 1 species
UUUCUCUCUUUUUCUCGUUUUAAUGAAAUGGAAACCAGGAUGAAUAAUGAGCUCAAACCACAGUGAGUGUCUAAGCUGUGCAGCACUGUGUGACCUGCUCCCUGUUGUCUGUUUACAGUGGGACUGAUGAUGAUGAUGAUGAUGAUGAUGGAGAACAAAGUGCAUCUAUCUAUAGUCCAGCCACGUUCUUUAUGCUGCUCUCAUCACAAGCCUCAACGUUUACAGUCACUACUAAUGUCCACUCCAUUUAAAAAGAGGACAGGAUGUCCUGAGUGGAGAUGAUGGAGAUGAAGAGGAUUACUUUACGCAAAGAAAUCCACCUUCUAAUCUCCUUCAAUGCAUAUCUAAUGAUGAGUUCCAUCCAAAAAGCCAAAAUGAUAUUUAUCAUAAACUUCUGUGACGUUAAACAACUUGGAAAUAAUUUCAGUGAUAGAGAAACAUUUUCAUCAUCUGUCCAGCAGUGAUUCUAGCCUACUGUGAGUAAAGCUGACGGACAACUGAUGGAGCCGAGUUCUUUCCCAGCGGAGGAGCCAAGGUCCACGCCCACCAGACGGCCUGAGCCGUGCAGCCAGCGGGCACCCGCCGGUGGGCCCAGAGCCAGCAGGGACAGGACCCCAGGCCAGAAGGAGACACUGCAAGUCACCCCACCGGACCCCAGGCACACCAGCCAAGCCCCCCAAAGCGCCCCAGAUCACCCUUCAUUGAACCCCCAUCCCAGCCCACGAACCGGCCACCAUCCAGCAGGACCGCACAGCCCCAGACGGAGCAAGGACAGCAGCCCGGCCCCGCCGCCCACCGGCUCUCUAUUCACCAUUAUCUCAGUCCAACCUACUCCUCACAGAUUGUAGAGUCCACAGGUGGUAGUUUUCAUAAAAGGGGCGUGGCUAACAAUGACGCACAAUGGUCCAAUGACGUCACAGAAUCUUGUCCUCAGCCAAUAGUAAAAAUCAUAUUGUAAUAUCUGGUUUUAACCCAUAGAGGGCAGUCACUCUGACAUUUUACAACAAAAUACAACAAAUUGAAAUACUUUUGACUAAAAUGUUGAGAUUUGGAAGAGGAUCAAUAAACAGCACUACGUCAUACA